GCUCAGUAACACGUGGCUAACCUGCCCUUGGGACGGAAAUAUCCCCGGGAAACUGGGAUCAAUUUCCGAUAGGCGAAGAACUCUGGAACGAGUCUUCACCCAAAAGACGUUUAGGGCAUGCUCCUAGACGUUGCCCAAGGAUGGGGCCGCGGCCGAUCAGGUUGUUGGUGAGGUAACGGCUCACCAAGCCUAUUACCGGUACGGGCCGUGGGAGCGGUAGCCCGGAGAUGGGCACUGAGACAAGGGCCCAGGCCCUACGGGGCGCAGCAGCCGCGAAAACUUCGCAAUAAGCGAAAGCUUGACGGGGCUAUCCCGAGUGCCAUCUGCUGAAGAUGGCUUUUACCUAGUAUAGAUAGCUAGGGGAAUAAGGAGAGGGCAAGUCUGGUGUCAGCCGCCGCGGUAAUACCAGCUCUCCGAGUUGUGGGGAUAUUUAUUGGGCCUAAAGCAUCCGUAGCCGGCUGAACAAGUCCCCUGUUAAACCCAGCGACUAAUCGUUGGUCUGCGGGGGAUACUGUUCGGCUAGGGGGCGGGAGAGGCCGUCGGUAUUCCUGGGGUAGGGGUGAAAUCCUAUAAUCCCAGGAGGACCACCAGUGGCGAAGGCUGUCGGCUAGAACGCGCCCGACGGUGAGGGAUGAAAGCUGGGGGAGCGAACCGGAUUAGAUACCCGGGUAGUCCCGGCUGUAAACGAUGCAGGCUAGGUGUUAGGGCGGCUACGUGCCGCUCUAGUGCCGCAGGGAAGCUGUUAAGCCUGCCGCCUGGGGAGUACGGCCGCAAGGCUGAAACUUAAAGGAAUUGGCGGGGGAGCAC
rnacentral:rRNA from 1 species